rnacentral:lncRNA from 1 species
GGUUAUAUAACGGGGAAAACAUUUUUAAAGUCUAUUCCCGUAGAGUUAUGUAUGGUCAGCAGGAAUUCUUCCUUGGUGAAAAUGAACUCAGGGCUGACUGUGGGGUCAUGAGGACAAAUCUCCGUGGAACGGAACUGCACACCCUAUACAUGACUAUAUUCUGUUACAUGCUGAGUUUUAAAUAAGAGCACUCAUAAUUUUGGUGUAGUCCCAUAUAUUACUCAUUUUUCCUUGUCAUUUUCAAACUGUGAUGAAGCAAGAUGCUGUAUUGGAGAAGCCUGCACGGCAAGGAAUGGAGGACAAACCAAUGGUUGGAGAGGAACUGAGGCCGCAGUCCAACAACCAGUGAGGAAGUGAAUGCUGCUAAUAAUCAUGGGAGUAGCUAGGAAGUAGAACUUCCCCCGGGGGUAUCUUCACUGUAGUCCCAGCAAACAGCAUACAAGAGACCCUAACACAGAGAAUUCAGCGAAGACAUGCCCAUAAGUCCUGACCUUCCAAAAUAUUGAGAUAAUGGAGAUUGUUGCUUUAAUCCAUUGAGUUUGGGAUAACGUGUUAUACAGUAAUUGGUAACUAAUAAACAAAUGAAAAUUAAGAUAUU